rnacentral:ncRNA from 2 species
UCCCCUGCAUGUCUCCGGCUGAUCGCUGCCGCUCCGCCAAUACAAUAGAGCCAGCCACUACCAGCAGCCUGGCCCUCUUCCUCCUUCUCCAGAGAGACCAAUCCAGCCGAACUCGGGGUUUGCCGUGAGGACUUAACGCUUAUCUCUUAAAAGCCAGAUCUGUUUUAGCCUCCCCGCACCACCACCACCUCCCCUUCCAUUUACCAUUUUUUGGAUCCCCGGUUGCUACAUCUCAAUUUUCUCUCUCUGGAUCGGGUGGCUGGGGAGGAGGUGGUGGGAUCUUGGAACAAGGAAGGUGUGGUUUUUUUUCUUUAUUUUUUUUAGGAUUUUUUUUGUUUGGUUUUUGUUAUUUCUUCCAUUCCAGAAAGGGAUAAACAGCACUUCCAGGGGGAGAAAAAAAAUCAUGUUAUCAGAAAGCAAAGAAGGUGAGGAGAAGGAGGAAGUGACCAUGGACACAAGUGAAAACAGACCUGAAAAUGAUGUUCCAGAACCUCCCAUGCCUAUUGCAGACCAAGUCAGCAAUGAUGACCGCCCGGAGGGCAGUGUUGAAGAUGAGGAGAAGAAAGAGGGGGCCAAGAAGAACACUGUUCUGGAGAGACUUGUAUUGAGCAAGCAAAAAACAUUUGGAAAGGGGUGGACUUG